rnacentral:rRNA from 1 species
AUACGGAGGGUGCAAGCGUUACUCGGAAUCACUGGGCGUAAAGCGCGCGCAGGCGGCUAUUUAAGUUGGAUGUGAAAGCCUACGGCUCAACCGUAGAACUGCAUCCAAAACUAUUUAGCUAGAGUGUGGGAGAGGAAGACGGAAUUAGUUGUGUAGGGGUAAAAUCCGUAGAGAUAACUAGGAAUACCAAAAGCGAAGGCAAUCUUCUGGAACACUACUGACGCUGAGGCGCGAAAGCGUGGGGAGCAAACGGGAUUAGAAACCCUAGUAGUCC